rnacentral:rRNA from 1 species
AUUGAACGCUGGCGGCAUGCCUUACACAUGCAAGUCGAACGGCAGCGGGCCUUCGGGUGCCGGCGAGUGGCGAACGGGUGAGUAAUGCAUCGGAACGUGCCAUUGAGUGGGGGAUAACGUAGCGAAAGUUACGCUAAUACCGCAUAUUCUGUGAGCAGGAAAGCAGGGGACCGCAAGGCCUUGCGCUCUUUGAGCGGCCGAUGUCAGAUUAGCUAGUUAGUGAGGUAAAGGCUUACCAAGGCGACGAUCUGUAGCGGGUCUGAGAGGAUGAUCCGCCACACUGGAACUGAGACACGGUCCAGACUCCUACGGGAGGCAGCAGUGGGGAAUUUUGGACAAUGGGCGCAAGCCUGAUCCAGCCAUGCCGCGUGAGUGAAGAAAGGGCCUUCGGGUUGGUUAAAGGACUCUUUCGGUCCGGGAACGGAAAUACGC